GGGGGCAUAGUUGAGAGGCAGAGUACAUGCUUAGCACGUGUGAGAUCCUGGGUUCAAUCCUCAGUACCCCCC
rnacentral:tRNA from 1 species